rnacentral:rRNA from 1 species
GACGAACGCCGGCGGCGUGCUUAACACAUGCAAGUCGAACGGUAAGGCCCUUCGGGGUACACGAGUGGCGAACGGGUGAGUAACACGUGGGUGAUCUGCCCUGCACUUCGGGAUAAGCCUGGAAACUGGGUCUAAUACCGGAUAGGACCCUGGGAUGCAUGUCCUGGGGUGGAAAGCUUUUGCGGUGUGGGAUGGGCCCGCGGCCUAUCAGCUUGUUGGUGGGGUGAUGGCCUACCAAGGCGACGACGGGUAGCCGGCCUGAGAGGGUGACCGGUCACACUGGGACUGAGAUACGGCCCAGACUCCUACGGGAGGCAGCAGUGGGGAAUAUUGCACAAUGGGCGCAAGCCUGAUGCAGCGACGCCGCGUGAGGGAUGGCGGCCUUCGGGUUGUAAACCUCUUUCAGCUAUGACGAAGCGCAAGUGACGGUAGUAGCAGAAGAAGGACCGGCCAACUACGUGCCAGCAGCCGCAGUAA